rnacentral:rRNA from 1 species
GGAGGGGGCGAGCGUUAUUCGGAAUCAUUGGGCGUAAAGGGCAGGUAGGCGGCUUUGUAUGUCCAAUGUGAAAGCCCUCGGCUCAACCGGGGAAUUGCAUUGGAAACUGCAGGGCUUGAGUCCGGGAGAGGGAAGCGGAAUUCCCAGUGUAGCGGUGAAAUGCGUAGAUAUUGGGAGGAACACCAGUGGCGAAGGCGGCUUCCUGGACCGGUACUGACGCUGAUCUGCGAAAGCCAGGGGAGCAAACGGGAUUAGAUACCCCGGGUAGUCCUGGCUGUAAACGAUGAGCACUUGGUGUGGCGGGUAUCGACCCCCUGCUGUGCCGACGCUAACGCAUUAAGUGCUCCGCCUGGGGAGUACGGUCGCAAGGCUG